ACAGAGGGAACUUCUGCUAAGACCCAAUAUGCCAGUUAGCUGGUGAAACAAUUUAUUGCCAAAUGAGGAGCUCGCGUCCGAUUAGUUAGUUGGUGGGGUAAGAGCCUACCAAGGCAGCGAUCGGUAGCUGGUCUGAGAGGAUGAGCAGCCACACUGGGACUGAGACACGGCCCAGACUCCUACGGGAGGCAGCAGUGGGGAAUUUUCCGCAAUGGGCGAAAGCCUGACGGAGCAAUACCGCGUGAGGGAGGAAGGCUUUUGGGUUGUAAACCUCUUUUAUUAAGGAAGAAGAAAGUGACGGUACUUAAUGAAUCAGCAUCGGCUAACUCCGUGCCAGCAGCCGCGGUAAUACGGAGGAUGCAAGCGUUAUCCGGAAUCAUUGGGCGUAAAGCGUCCGCAGGUGGUUGAUCGUGUCUGCUGUUAAAGACAGAAGCUCAACUUCUGAAAGGCAGUGGAAACUGGUGAACUAGAGUACGGUAGGGGUUGAGGGAAUUCCCAGUGUAGCGGUGAAAUGCGUAGAUAUUGGGAAGAACACCAGUGGCGAAGGCGCUCAACUGGGCCGUAACUGACACUCAGGGACGAAAGCUAGGGUAGCGAAAGGGAUUAGAUAC
rnacentral:rRNA from 1 species